CCUACGGGUGGCAGCAGUGAGGAAUAUUGGUCAAUGGCCGGAAGGCUGAACCAGCCAUGCCGCGUGAAGGUCAGUGCCCUAUGGGCGUUAAACUUCUUUUGUGCGGGAGCAAUAAUGGUCACGUGUGGCCAGACGAGAGUACCGUACGAAUAAGCAUCGGCUAACUCCGUGCCAGCAGCCGCGGUAAUACGGAGGAUCCGAGCGUUAUCCGGAUUUAUUGGGUUUAAAGGGUGCGUAGGCGGCCUUUUAAGUCAGCGGUGAAAGUCUGUGGCUCAACCAUAGAAUUGCCGUUGAAACUGGGAGGCUUGAGUAUGUUUGAGGCAGGCGGAAUGCGUGGUGUAGCGGUGAAAUGCUUAGAUAUCACGCAGAACCCCGAUUGCGAAGGCAGCCUGCCAAGCCAUGACUGACGCUGAUGCACGAAAGCGUGGGGAUCAAACAGGAUUAGAUACCCUUGUAGUC
rnacentral:rRNA from 1 species